rnacentral:rRNA from 1 species
AUUGAACGCUGGCGGAAUGCUUUACACAUGCAAGUCGAACGGCAGCACGGACUUCGGUCUGGUGGCGAGUGGCGAACGGGUGAGUAAUGUAUCGGAACGUGCCCAGUCGUGGGGGAUAACGUAGUGAAAAUUACGCUAAUACCGCAUACGAUCUAUGGAUGAAAGCGGGGGAUCGCAAGACCUCGCGCGAUUGGAGCGGCCGAUAUCAGAUUAGGUAGUUGGUGGGGUAAAGGCCCACCAAGCCAACGAUCUGUAGCUGGUCUGAGAGGACGACCAGCCACACUGGAACUGAGACACGGUCCAGACUCCUACGGGAGGCAGCAGUGGGGAAUUUUGGACAAUGGGCGAAAGCCUGAUCCAGCCAUUCCGCGUGCAGGACGAAGGCCCUCGGGUUGUAAACUGCUUUUGUACAGAACGAAAAGGUUUCUGCUAAUACUAGGAGCUCAUGACGGUACUGUAAGAAUAAGCACCGGCUAACUACGUGCCAGCCGCCGCGGUAA